AGGGCUUGACAUGGGGAGGCUGUGUCCAGAGAUGGGCAUUCCCGCAAGGGCCUACUGCAC
rnacentral:rRNA from 1 species